GACGAACGCUGCGGCGUGCCUAAUACAUGCAAGUAGAACGCACAGUUUAUACCGUAGCUUGCUACACCAUAGACUGUGAGUUGCGAACGGGUGAGUAACGCGUAGGUAACCUGCCUGGUAGCGGGGGAUAACUAUUGGAAACGAUAGCUAAUACCGCAUAAUAUUAAUUAUUGCAUGAUAAUUGAUUGAAAGAUGCAACUGCAUCACUACCAGAUGGACCUGCGUUGUAUUAGCUAGUAGGUGAGGUAACGGCUCACCUAGGCGACGAUACAUAGCCGACCUGAGAGGGUGAUCGGCCACACUGGGACUGAGACACGGCCCAGACUCCUACGGGAGGCAGCAGUAGGGAAUCUUCGGCAAUGGACGAAAGUCUGACCGAGCAACGCCGCGUGAGUGAAGAAGGUUUUCGGAUCGUAAAGCUCUGUUGUAAGAGAAGAACGGGUGUGAGAGUGGAAAGUUCACACUGUGACGGUAUCUUACCAGAAAGGGACGGCUAA
rnacentral:rRNA from 1 species